CGCGGGGUCAUCCGGGGGCCCGUUACCACCUCAUUUUCCUCUGCGCGCGGCGGCGAAGCGCACGGGACGAGGACGGGGCCGACUGAGGAGGGAAAAGAGGGGGAACCGGGCAGGAGCGGAGGGGUUCUUCAUCGCCCACACGAUGACGUGAGCGCCACCUCUGCUCUCUGGAAGAGGCGAGCCGUGGCUGAAGAGUGCGCUACGCAUGCGCACGGGGAGGAAAGAAGCCGCUGAGUGCUCAGUUUGGGGGUUGAAUUCUUACGGGUGUUACUCUGGCAAGCAUAGAGCUGCCUGGUUUUACCCAGCCUGAUUGGUUAUCUGUUCUGUAAAGAGCUUGCAUUCUUAGUUGACCUCGCAAAAAAUUACGUAUUUUUUUCUUACCAUUGACGUCAGGCCAGACUCAGUACUAAGUUCCAGCAAAUGGAAGUAACCAAGACAGAAAUAGCUCCUGAUCUCAUGGAGUUUACAAUGCAAGCAAAGAGGAUUACUCGAUAUAAAAGAGAGAAUUGAGCAGAGACGAGAGGGAUCUCAUUACCACCAAGCAAGAAGAGCCA